rnacentral:misc_RNA from 1 species
GUGAAUCAUCGAAUCUUUGAACGCAAAUUGCACUCUCCGGUUUUCCGGGGGAGGUUGCCUGUUUGGGGGUCUGUUUAAAAAAUAAUCGGGUGUUCUGCGGUGGUGGUCCUUCGGAAUUGGGUCAUCUUUCACCUUUCGGUUGUAAGCGACCUAAAAUUUUUUUUACGAUUUCUACGAACGUGUUUAAGUAUUUUUUUUACGUUCUCGACAG